GACGAACGCUGGCGGCGUGCUUAACACAUGCAAGUCGAGCGGAAAGGCCCUUCGGGGUACUCGAGCGGCGAACGGGUGAGUAACACGUGAGUAAUCUGCCUCUAGCUCUGGGAUAGCUCCGGGAAACCGGGAUUAAUACCGGAUACGACCACUCAAGACAUCUUCUGUGGUGGAAAGAAUUUCGGCUAGAGAUGAGCUCGCGGCCUAUCAGCUUGUUGGUGGGGUAACGGCCACCAAGGCGACGACGGGUAGCCGGCCUGAGAGGGCGACCGGCCACACUGGGACUGAGACACGGCCCAGACUCCUACGGGAGGCAGCAGUGGGGAAUAUUGCGCAAUGGGCGAAAGCCUGACGCAGCGACGUCGCGUGGGGAUGAAGGCCUUCGGGUU
rnacentral:rRNA from 1 species